rnacentral:rRNA from 1 species
GACGAACGCUGGCGGCGUGCUUAACACAUGCAAGUCGAGCGGUAAGGCCCUUUCGGGGGUACACGAGCGGCGAACGGGUGAGUAACACGUGGGUGACCUGCCCUCAGCUCUGGGAUAAGCCUGGGAAACCGGGUCUAAUACCGGAUAUGACUCCAUGACGCAUGUUGUGGGGUGGAAAGCCUUGUGCGGCUGAGGAUGGGCCCGCGGCCUAUCAGCUUGUUGGUGGGGUGAGGCCUACCAAGGCGACGACGGGUAGCCGGCCUGAGAGGCGACCGGCCACACUGGGACUGAGACACGGCCCAGACUCCUACGGGAGGCAGCAGUGGGGAAUCUUGGACAAUGGGCGCAAGCCUGAUCCAG